AUUGAACGCUGGCGGCAUGCCUUACACAUGCAAGUCGAACGGCAGCACGGGAGCAAUCCUGGUGGCGAGUGGCGAACGGGUGAGUAAUAUAUCGGAACGUGCCCAGUCGUGGGGAUAACGUAGCGAAAGUUACGCUAAUACCGCAUACGAUCUAAGGAUGAAAGCGGGGGACUCGCAAGAGCCUCGCGCGAUUGGAGCGGCCGAUAUCAGAUUAGGUAGUUGGUGGGGUAAAGGCUCACCAAGCCAACGAUCUGUAGCUGGUCUGAGAGGACGACCAGCCACACUGGAACUGAGACACGGUCCAGACUCCUACGGGAGGCAGCAGUGGGGAAUUUUGGACAAUGGGCGCAAGCCUGAUCCAGCAAUGCCGCGUGCAGGAUGAAGGCCUUCGGGUUGU
rnacentral:rRNA from 1 species